UGCUGUGGCUAGGAGAUCUUAUCGAGCCUUCCUGUGCCACAGCAACAGAGCCCUAGUUGUGUCUCCUAAGAAUUGCUCAUUGUUUCAGGAGGACGACUGGCUCCUUUGGGUGGGAUCUGAUGGCAUCUCAUGGAGUUGGAGGGUCCUUAUCAGAGCCUAGCACACACACCUGGCCCAGGAGUUAGAAAAGCUUAAGGAGUAUCUAUCCAGGAGAAGGUGGAACAACGGCAGGUCCGGUGGCAGGAGGAUUUGCUGGGGAAGGAAGAGGACGGAGGAGCACAGAAUGGCUCAUCCUAUCUGCUUGCUAGUGAAAAUCCUCCGUUGUUGAGUUCAUUCUUUGUGAGCAUGCACAUGGAACACGAAUAUCCUAACACACCUUGCCAUUUGGAGGAGCCUAUCAGCCUACCUCUCCAGCAGAUUUCUUCAUCACCAAGUUUUUAAUCAUGUUCUUUCCAAAUCUCUGACCCAUGAAUUAUUAUUAUUAUUGAAGAUUUUCCCUUCAAGACAUCUCUUCUUUCAAGUAAAAGGAACAACAUGUGUACUGCUUGUCAUUCUGUACACUGGAAAGAUUUCCCUUCGCUGCUGACCUACAGGGCCAUCCCAGAGUGAGGCUGUUGUGUUUCAAUUGUCCAUUUGGUUUUAGCUGUCCACUUUUGAGUGGUGUCUUCCUAAUAUGCAGAGUCAUCUGGAAGCUAGGUCUGAAAUUUCAGUUUUCCUCUGUUGAUUGGUCCUAAGAAGUUCUCAAAGAGGGCAUAGGUGUAGUUUGAAAGAAAGGAGCAAUAUAACAGAAGUAAGGUGGUGGAUACAUAGGCCACGUGCUUGUGCAAUACAUUAGUUCCUCUAGACCUCCCUAAGCCCAGAUCAUACAUCCCACUUCCAUUUGUUAAUGGAGCACUGCCAUGGAUGCUCAGCUUUGUGGCCUGGUAGGUCAGACAACACUAAUAAAGGGUAGCUCAGGACACAGAGUAACUGAAUGACCCAUGUCCAAGCAUUCGUCUCUUGAAGAAUGCUCUAAACUGCAUUCGUAUCUAUCACUAACAUUCUACACACUAUUGGAUCUUCUGGAUCAUAUGGUCCAAGUGGCAGAGCUGCUUUUAUAACAAUCUAGAUUUAGAAACCUUGGACCCCACUCAUAGUUGACAGCUUUUUGAUUUAGAAGUGGUCAAAAAUGGAACCCAGCCUGCCUCAGACUAGACCCCUAGAUAUUUGUGGGAUUUAUUUUCUACCCUCUGCCAUUCAGAUGUCUUACAUCUGUGUCCAGAGCAGUUGCUAUUUUCUACUUACCAGAGAAGGAAUCAGGAAGCCAAAGGAGGAUCCAGAGUGAGAUGCAGCGGCUGUAAGCUUGGCCACUGCCUCACACCAGAGAAGUGAGCCAGGAGCAGGGCCAUGGCAUGAGGGAGCUAAAACGUGGCUACUGCUUCCUUUCCACCCUCCUAGCUCAAACAAGAACCUCUCUGUAGCUCACUUUACCCAGAAGCAUACAGGAACAGGAAUUCUGGGAAAUGUAGUUCAGCCUAGCCAAGCUGACACAUACACACCACAAACACAGUUGAUGGCAGGUUAUUAUAGAGAUGAGAAUUCUGUUUUAAAAAUAAGAGAAGCAGCUGGCAUCUCCUGGCAUGAUCUUCCUUCCUGAAAAUUCCAUCUGACACAUUUCUUUUCUCUUACCUACAAGGCACCAAUUGCAUAGAAUAUAUGUAUAUGUGUUCUGGCCCUGGGGAGAUUAUCAAAACAGAGUUGUUUCAGGCAACAUAUUAUUUUUUUUUAAUAAAUAAAUGCUUAACAGUGUGAAAAUGUA